GCUCUUUAGCGUAUGGACGGUUUUUGCGUCUAGUCGGGCGGUUAGCCAGACUCUAACUUAUUGAGCACU
rnacentral:sRNA from 18 species